rnacentral:rRNA from 1 species
AUACAGAGGGGGCAAGCGUUGUUCGGAAUUACUGGGCGUAAAGGGCGCGUAGGCGGCCUGCUAAGUCGAACGUGAAAUCCCUGGGCUCAACCCAGGAACUGCGUCCGAUACUGGUUGGCUUGAAUCCGGGAGAGGGAUGCGGAAUUCCAGGUGUAGCGGUGAAAUGCGUAGAUAUCUGGAGGAACACCGGUGGCGAAGGCGGCAUCCUGGACCGGCAUUGACGCUGAGGCGCGAAAGCCAGGGGAGCAAACGGGAUUAGAUACCCCGGUAGUCCUGGCCCUAAACGAUGAAUGCUUGGUGUGGUGGGUAUCGAUCCCUGCCGUGCCGAAGCUAACGCAUUAAGCAUUCCGCCUGGGGAGUACGGUCGCAAGGCUGAAACUCAAAUGAAUUGACGGGG